AUUUUUUUAAAUUAUAAUACUUUAUUUGCAAUACUAUAAUUAAGUUUGUGUCACCCUUUCCAUUAUAUAGCUCCAAUGCCAGGAAUUUGUUGCUAGUUGUAGAAAAGUGUAAGCUAUAGCCUGAAACAGGCAUUUAUAGGACCCUCGACCUCACUGUUUUUAUCUAAAUAUCCCCUUGUCAUUAUUUUAUGUGGCAAGCAUUACCAGCCAUCACAAUACCCCACAAAGCAAGCAUGAGUUGGACCUCAUAAUUCCAAACCUAUCGAUGAGUUAAAAAUGAAAAACAUUCCUUCUCAGUAGACACGGCUAAUACUGUGGCCAGCCUGCCACAGUCCAUUCCAGUCAUCCAGAAUCUGAAAUCAUAGUUGUAAAGGAUUUCAGGGAUACCUGUGAGAAACCUGUUUCUGAAUAUAUGACAGAACACUCAUUUGCUGAAGAACAUGCCAUAAGUAGUGGUAGAAAAAAAGGGCAAGACACAGGCAUCCUGAGAGCAAGUCUCGGCUUCUUUCUGCCACUACUCUAAUACUAUUUGGUCUUCAAGUUGGGCUUCAUACUUUCCAUAGAAAGGACAAGUACAAGUUCU